rnacentral:rRNA from 1 species
CUACGGGGGGCACCAGUGGGGAAUAUUGGACAAUGGGCGCAAGCCUGAUCCAGCAAUACCGCGUGUGUGAAGAAGGCCUGCGGGUUGUAAAGCACUUUCAAUUGUGAAGAAAAGCUUGGGGUUAAUAACCUCGAGUCUUGACGUUAACUUUAGAAGAAGCACCGGCUAACUCUGUGCCAGCAGCCGCGGUAAUACAGAGGGUGCGAGCGUUAAUCGGAAUUACUGGGCGUAAAGCGUAUGUAGGCGGUUUAGUAAGUCAGAUGUGAAAGCCCUGGGCUCAACCUGGGAACUGCAUUUGAAACUGCUAGACUAGAGUGUGGUAGAGGGAAGUGGAAUUCCGGGUGUAGCGGUGAAAUGCGUAGAUAUCCGGAGGAACACCAGUGGCGAAGGCGACUUCCUGGACCAACACUGACGCUGAGGUACGAAAGCGUGGGUAGCAAACAGGAUUAGAUACCCCGGUAGUC